rnacentral:lncRNA from 1 species
GACAACUUGGUGACUCCACCAUGUCCAGGCUCCAGGUCCAGGAGCAGGCAGUGGAUUCCGAGGGAGACUCAUCCCUAUACAGGAGAGAUGAGGAGGGGACACAGAGCUCCCACCGCAUGCUGGGCUUUAGUGAUGCCUUACUAUCCAUCAUCGCCACUGUCAUGGUCAGUGUGGGGCCCGCCUCAAACCUACCACUCCUUUCUGUGGCAGCCUCGGAUGCCCAAACCUUUCAUGCAGGUGCAGCCUGCCCAGCAGUGGUCAAGAGCCAACAUAACUACUGAAGAGCCCAGCCCCAGAAGUAUUGCUUGGUCAUUUUUGUCUUUGUUCCUUUAGAUCCUGCCUGUGACCCACACAGAGAUCUCACCAGAACAGGUAAUAGGAACAGUCUGCUUUGUACAGUGGGCCAGUAAGAAGACCUGACCUGGGCUUGGGCAGCCAACCCCAAGGCAGGGAAUUUACUGAGUGGGAAGAACAUCAGUGCUCCCUCCUAGAAGGAUGUGUAUUCAGAGCAGGAGGGCGGGGCUCAAGCACAGGCUCUGGCAAAAGGAGGUUUGAUUUCUAGGUAGGUAGACAGGCACUGAUAUCCUCCACUGAGAGGAAAAGGAACCAUGCCCACCCCGGAUGUCUACCAAGCCAUCCUAUGUGGGUAACAAAGAGCUUUUCUAAAAGAAUUUUCAUUUAUAUCUG